GAUGAACGCUGGCGGCGUGCCUAAUACAUGCAAGUCGAACGCACAGACGAGGAGCUUGCUCCUCUGACGUUAGCGGCGGGCGGGUGAGUAACAUGUGGAUAACGUCCCUAUAAGACGGGGAUAACUUCGGGACACCGGAUCAAAUAGCAGAAAAUAUAUUAUACCGCAUGGUUCAAUAGUGAAAGACAAUUUUGCUGUUACUUAUAGAUCGUUCCGCGCCGCAUUAAGUUGUUGGUAAGGUAACGGAUUACCAAGGCAAUGCUGAGUAGCCGACCUGAGAGGGGGAUCGCCGACACUGGAACUGAGACACGGUCCAGACUCCUACGGGGGGCAGCAGUAGGGAAUCUUCGGAAAUGGGCGAAAGCCUGACGGAGCAACGCGGCGUGGGUGAUGAAGGUCUUGGGAUCGUAAACCUCUGUUAUUAGGGAAGAAGAAAUGUGUAAUUAACAGUGCACGUCUUGACGGUAUCUAAUCAGAAAGCCACGGCUAACUACGUG
rnacentral:rRNA from 1 species